AAAGUUACUUGAGAAAAUCGGUAAAAAAGAAGACAAGGAGCGAAAACGGAAGAAAACGGCGGUAACAUUGUCCCAAAAUAUUGGUGACUUGUUCAAAAAAAAGGCCCAAAAUCGUAGAGAGAUAGACAAUAAAGGACAGCAACAUCAGAGACAGACAAUGGAGGGCAGCAACAGAGACAAUGGAACAAAGCAACAGACAACUGAGUGGGGAGCAACAGACGAACAAAUAAGGACAGCAACAACAGAUUCACAACAAAC